rnacentral:lncRNA from 1 species
CUUACAAAGCUCGACUGGGUCUAACUCUUGAAUCUGCACAAUUAAAUGCCGAGUAUAGUGUGAGUACAACCAACGCCAUGUACUCUGUAAGUAUCAUGACUAACCUCGGCGAGAUAGUAGUGGCAAGAAUAACCAAUGAUACCUAUUUAACAACCUGCUUAGUUCAUAAUAUCUAAGUACACAACAAUGGUACCGACUAAACAUGAAACACAUGUAUAUCCAAAUAAGUGCACAUCGAGAAGAUGUGUCAAGUAUUAUAAUAGUUUAACGGCUCAACAUAUAGAGAAGCUAUGCAUUCAACAUCAAAGGAUCAUCAACAUUAGCAUAUAAAGAAGAUAUGCAUUAAGAACUAGGUCAAUGUACAUCGGUUAACAUAUAGACAAGAUAUGUAUCGUAUUUCCACCUUCUAGUCAAAACAACAUAUAGAGAAGAUAUACAUAAAGAUGCAUGUAUACAUUUCAAAGCUAGCAUAUAGAGAAGAUAUGCUAUAAAAACAUGUAUACACCCAAGGCAUUUGCAAAUAGAGAAGAUAUGCAAAAACCAAACACUAAUAAGUUUUUCUCAUACCGCGUGUAUGUAAUCAAGAGAGAAACAAGAGAGAAAGACCCUAGGGGGAUGGAUCCUUAUUCACACGUUGCACGGACAACUCACGCGCCAUAAUAUAACAACCGCAUAGACAUCUCACGUGUUAUCAUAACUCAAACCGCACGCACCACUCACGUGCUACCAAUCCAGUCCAUAUCACACAGAAAGCGUAUAUAAGAAUACAUGUAUACGAAAAAUGAAUAUCAAAUCAUAUACUCAUGGACUGAUAAAGUGACAUGCUAAGGUGUAUGCAUGUGCAAAGUGUGCUACCAAAGCUCCAAUUAGGCGAAUACACCACAACAUAAAAAUUAUCAUGUUUGAACAUGAGAUUAACCUACACAUGAUCUCUAACAUUAUUCAAAUAGCUCACAAAGGGGUAUAAAAAUAUGAAGCAUGAUAACAUGAAACUUAGUAUUCAAUUCAAGGCAUAACAUAGCCUAAGCACUACCCCGACCAUGGAUAAAACCCGGUGCAUGCACACAUGCUCAUCCCUUGCAUGUGUGUCACCCUUGGCACAUAGCCAUCAUCAACAAUUAAAGCAACUAGUGCCUCAAACCAAGGCUAGACAAGAUACUUACUUCAAACAAGCCAAAUCAAUACUCUAAAAAUGCCUUCCCAAGCGAAUCGACCUUCGAACAACUCGAACCUAGUAAAAAAUAACUCAAUAACAUCAAUAAAUCCAUAAGAAACAACCCUAAAUAAUAAAUCAUCAAUCUUUAUAAAAUACACAAAGUCAACUAAAAAGUGAACCUAAGCCCAUAUCCUAGAACCAGACCAAACUCAUAAAUCCCGGUUAUCCAUUCCAAUACGAGUCCAAAUAUACAAGUUUAAUCUAAAUCCGACUUCAAAUCAGCUCCCAAAUCCCCAAUUUUUGCUCUCCAAAAUCAUAGCCUAAACCCCUAAAUUUCUCUUUCAAAUCACAUAAUCUAUGUGUAAUAAUACAUGGAAAAACAAGAUAUAAUAUCAAAAUCAAAUAGAAGUCAUUAUCGCUCUUGCCUUGUGUGAAAAUCCUCUUCAACAAUCGCCCCUCUCCAAGUCUAAGGUUCAAAAUAUGAAAUAGUGGGUCUAAAUCCCAAAAUUAUAACACUAAUAAGUUUGUCCAGUGAUACCCUUCGUGAAUAGUGGCCACUACCUCACGUUCACGAAGCACAAAAAUUCAAUGUCUCAAAAUAACCCUUCGUGAAUGCGGCCUCCAGCCUGCGAACACGAUGCACAAACUCCACAGGCCUACGCGAAUGCGGUCCUAGUCCUGGGAACAUGAAGGCCAAGCACCUGGCCAUCCCCAGCUUGCCUCAUUGCUACGUGAACGAGACGCCAUGGCCGCGAGCGUGAAGGCCAAUCUGCCGCAUUCAUUUCGACUACGGCCUUACUAUCAUGAAUGCAAAGAAAAAAAAUCUGCCCAGCUCAAGUUCACUCUACGAUCGCGAUCUAACUUGCUCUAUCGCAAAGAAGGGUCUGACACCAGCAAAAAUCUGCAACUUUCAAAAUGCUCCAGGUGGUCUGAAACUCACCCGAGCCACCCGGGACCUCGUCCAAUCACACCAACAAGUAUAUAAACCAUAUACAACCUUGUUCGAAAGCUCAAAACAUCAAAAUACACCCGUAACCAAGAAUCGAACACCAAAACACAUAAUGCAUCAUUCAAGUUAAAGAACUUCAAACACUAAAAACCAAGCGUCUGAUUCAAGCCUAACCAAUCCAGAAUGAACCCAAACUUUGUACACAAGUUCCAAAGAAUUAAACGGACCUAUUCCAAGUCCCAAAAAAAUAACCCAAACUCGAUAGCCUCAAGUUCAACUCACGAUCAAACUUAUGAACUUUCCAAACCUUAAAAUUGCCAACUCUCGGCAAUUUGAGCCAAAUCAACCUAGGAACCUCCAAAUCCAAAUCCGAAUAUACGCCUAAGUCGAAAACCACCAUACAAACCUUUUGGAACCAUAAAAAUAUGAAUCUGAGGUCGUUUACACAAAAGUCAAACUUUGGUCAAGUCUUACAACUUAAGCUACCAAAAUAAGACUAAGUGUCUCAAUUCACUCCAAAACAUUCCCGAAAAGAAUCCCAACCAUCCUUGUAAAUCACCAAACAUCAAAUACACAUAUGCGGGACAUCAAAUAGGUGAAUGAGGCUAAUAUUCACAAGACGGCCGGCGGGGUCAUUACAUUCUUCCCCUCUUUAACAAACAUUCAUCCUUGACCGAGUUUAGAGUCAUACCUGAAAUGCCAGAAAAGUGAGGAUAUAUCCUUCGCAUAUCAUACUUGAUUUCUCAAGUCAUAUCCUCGACCGGUUGACUUCUUUGUUGAACCUUCAUCGAUGCUAUAUACUUCGACCUCAGCUUCCGAACAUCCCUAUCCAAAAUAGCCACCAGCCCCUCAUCAUAGGUUAAAUCCUUGUCCAACUGCACCGAUUGAAAUCCAACACAUAUGACGGAUCCUCAUAGUACUUCCGAAUCAUGGAAAUAUGAAACACCGGAUGAAAUCCCAAGAAGCUGGGUGGCAAAGCAAGCCUGUAAGCCACCUCACCAACUCUCUUCAAAACCUCGAAUGGAACAAUAAACCUCAAGCUCAACUUUUCCUUCUUCCCAAACCUCAUUACGCCCUUUAUUGGCGAAACUCUAAGUAGAACCUUCUCACCCACCAUGAAUUCCACAUCACGAACCUUCCUAUUAGUAUAACUCUUACGCUUGGACUGUGCGGUACGAAGCCUCUUCUGAAUCAACUUCACUUCCUCCAGAGCAUUACGAAUCAAAUCUGUGCCCAAUAAUCUAGUCUCACCGGGCUCAAACCAACCAACCGAAGAACGAUACCGUCUCCCAUAUAAUGCCUUAUACGGAGCCAUCUGGAUGCUAGACUAGUAGCUGUUGCUUUAGGCAAACUCUGCUAGAGUACAAACUAAUCCCACUCGCCUCCAAAAUCUAUAACAUAGGCUCUGAACUUAUCCUUCAAGAUCUGAAUGGUCCGCUCGGGCUGCCUGUCCAUCUGAGAAUAAAAUGUAGUAUUCAACUCAACCUACAUGCCUAACUCACACUAAACAGCCCUCCAGAAAUGCGAAGUAAACUGAGUACCAUGAUUCGAUAUGAUAAAAAUAGGUACACCAUACAGGAAAACAAUCUCUCUGAUGAAGAUAUGAUCUAAUCUCUCUAAAGUGUAGGAAGUCAUAACUGGAAUGAAAUGCGCCAAUUUGGUCAAUUGAUCCACAAUAACCCAAAUACCAUCAAACUUCCUCAAAAUCCGUGGCAAAUCCACCACGAAGUCUAUAGUAUUAUGCUCCCACUUUUACUCUGUUAUAUCAAUCUUCUGAAGCAAAUCUCCCAAUCUCUGAUGCUCAUAUUUAACCUGCUGACAAUUCAAAUACCGUAAAACAUGAUCAAAAUUGUCCUUCAUCCUUCUCCACCAAUUAUGCUGAUUCAAAUCAUGAUACAUCUUUGUAGCACCUGGAUGGAAAGAAUACAAUAAACUGUGAGCCUCCUCAAGAAUUAACUCUCUUAAUUCGUCCACAUUAGGUAUACAGAUCCGACACUAAAGCCUCAAUACCCCAUCAUCACCAAUAGUCACAUCUUUAGCAUCACCGUGAUGCACUGUGUCCCUAAGUACAAGUAAGGUGGGGAUCAUCAUACUGACGAUCCUUAACAUUCUCAAACAAGGACGACCGAGAUACAACAUACAUAAAGACUCUGCUCGGCUCGGCCAUAUCCAAUAUUACCACCUUAUUGGCCAAUGCCUGAACAUCCAUAGCUAAAGGCCUCUCCCCAACUCGAAUGAAUGCUAAAUUUCCCAUACUCUCUGCCUUUCUACUCAAGGCUUCUGCUAUCAUAAUAGCCUUGACCGGGUGAUAGAGAAUAGUGAUAUCAUAAUCCUUCAAUAGUUCUAACCAUCUCCUCCGUGUCAAAUUCAAAUCUUUCUGUUUUAAUAGAUAAUGAAAACUUUGAUGAUCCAUAUAAACCUCAUAAGACAUACCAUAUAGAUAAUGCCUCCAAAUCGUGAGCGCGUGCCCAAUAGCUGCCAACUCAAAAUCAUGGACUAGAUAGUUCCUCUCAUGGGGGUUCAACUCGCACGAUGCAUAAGAAAUCACCCUACUCUGUUAUAUCAACACACACCCCAAGUACAUCACGCGAAGGCAAAAUCAAAACUGGGGCCAUAGUCAAAGCAGUCUUGAGCUUUUGAAAGCUCUCCUCCCACUCGUCCGACUAUCUGAAUAAGGUGCCUUUCUAAGUCAAUCUAGUCAAUGCAGCUACUGUAGAUGAAACCCCUUCCACAAACUGACGGUAGUAUCCAGCCAAACAUAAGAAAUAGGGCUGUUCAAAACCGAACCGAAACCAUUAACCGAACCAAACGGAUGGCUUAUUGGCUUAUUGGUAUCGGAUUAUCGGGGCAAUGGAUGGUGAACGGAUUGAGAUUUUAUGAUUAACGGCUUAACGGUUUGGGGGCGUAUUACUCAAUUUUUUUAUCGGGUAAACCGUUAACCCGUUAAGAAUUUUUAUAUUUAUACUUUUACCCCUAUAUAUAUAAAAUACUAUUAAAACCUAAAUGGCUAAAUCCCUUCUAAUUCUCAAUAGAAUUGUCGUAUGUCCGUAGCUAUUAUAGACAUGAGGAGAUUUUUUAACCCAGAUUUGGUAAGGUUCGCUUUGCUGUCGUAUAUGGCUUAUGGUGAAUGGUAAGUUGAAUACUCUUUACGGGAAAAUUGUUACUUUUUAUAUAUAAUAUAUUAAAUCUUAAACAUUCUCAGUAAAAUUAUUUUCUAGUUAUGUCACAUCACUUAAGUUUGUCUCGAUCUAAUAUUGUAUAAAAAUAACAAGUAAAACAUAGUUUCCUUAACAUUAGAAGUACUUUACAUUAUACAAUAUAUAAAUUUGUCACAAACUGAAAGAUUUUUCGUAAAUUUUGGACAUACUAUUUCAGUACGUAGAGAAUUUUAUAAUAUUACAAUUGUCCAAUUAUGAAUAUAUCCCUAUUACAGUACGUACUGAAGUUAUGUUGUCCUCUUUCCAUCUUGUUUCUCUAUGUCUUCUGGGAUAGGACUAUUCUGACUUUGUUGAGUUAUUCUUCAUUAAAAUUAUUCAACAUUGCUUGGCUAGCUAUACAACUAACAGAUAUAGUUUGAACUAUGCAUUUAGCCAUUUGGCCCUGACCGAACCGUUAAUCAUAAUUAUCCGCCCGAUAAGCACCCCUAAUAAAAAACUCCUAACCUCUGUAGCGGUAGAAGGUCUGGGCUAACACUGAAUUGCCUCAAUCUUCUUCAGGUCCACCUUGAUCCCAUCACUAGAUACCACGUGGCUCAGGAAUUCCACAUAAUCCAACCAAAAUGCGCACUUGGAGAACUUAGCAUACAACUUCUUCUCCCUCAAAAUCUAAAGCACAAUCCUCAAAUACUGCUCGUGCUCCUCCCUACUACAGAAAUACACCAAUAUAUCAUCAACUAAUACAAUAACGAAGGAAUCCAAAUAAGGCUGAAAUGCAUUGUUCAUCAAAUGCAUGUAAGUUGAUGGGUCAUUAGUCAAACCAAAAGACAUCACCAAAAGCUCAUAGAGGCCAUAAUGGGUCCUUAAAGUCUUAUUAGGAAUGUCCGAAGACCUAAUCUUUAGCUGAUGAUAAACCGAUCUCAAGUUAAUCUUUGAGAACACCCCGACACCUUGAAACUGAUGAAAUAAAUCAUCAAUAAGUGGAGGUGGAUAUUUGUACUUGAUGGUAACUAUGUUCAAUUGCUUGUAGUUAAUGCACAUCCUCAUCAAACCAUCCUUCUUCUUCAAAAAUAAUACCGGCACACCCUAAGGUGAAACACUCACCCUGAUGAAACCCUUAUCAAGCAAUUCCUGUAAUAGUAGGAUAGAUAUGGGUCGAGUUCCCGACAAAAGAUCAAUACCAAAGUCCUUAUCCCUAUCAAGUGGCAUGGUCGGUAGGUCUGCAAAAAACAUAUCUGGGAACUCCCUUACUAUUGGAACUGACUCAACAGUUGGAUUAUAAGCACUAACAUCUCCACAAAGUCCAAAUACACCAAACAUUCAUUCUCAACCAUCUGCCGAGCCUUCAAAAAUGAAAUAACUCUAUUAAGAGCGUGACCAAGUAAACCCCUCCAUUCCAACCAUGGCAACCCCAGCAUCGCCAAUAUCAUAGUCUUAGCGUGAUAGUCAAGGAUAGCAUGGUAUGAAGAUAACCAAUCCAUACCCAAAAUCACCUCAAAAUCAACCAUGUUGAGCAAUAGAAGAUCAACAUUCGUCUCAUCACCUCAACGGUAACCAUACAAGAUCGAAAUGCAUGAUCUACCACAAUAGAAUCCCUAACAGUUGUAGAUACAUAAAUAAGAAUAUCAAGAGAAUUACGAGGCAUAUCCAAAUAAUGAGCAAAAUAUGAUGAAAUAUAAGAAUAUGUGGAACCAGGGUCAAAUAAUACUGAAGCAUCCAUGUGGUAUACUAAAUUAAUACCUGUGAUUGCGGCAUCUAAAGCAACUACCUCCAGUUUGGCCAGGAAUGCAUAACAAUAGGAAUGUCCUCUACCUGACUGACCUCCCCCUCUAGGAUGGCCCCAAAUAGAUUGAGCUCCACCCCUAACUGGUUGUGUGGUUGGUGUAGCUGUUGGCGCUAGAACCAUGGACUGCGUGCCCUGAUGUGGUAUACUACUCAGAAGCAUGGUACAAUCCCUAUUGAGAUGACUCAAGUCCCCCUACACUCAAAACAACCCCUCCUCUAACGAGGCUGUUAACUCUGCGACUAACCCUGAGGACCCAAACAUCCGCAUGUCGGACCCUAAGAAGAUGGAAAACAAUAUGAACUCUAUGUUGGCAAUGCACUGAAUGAUGACUGGCUUAGGAGAGAACUAUAUGAGUCGUGGCUGACUAAAGAAGCACAAGAAAUUUGAUGAGUUGCCAAAGCGAUCCCGAAAUAACGGCCUCUACUAUAAUUUGACUGUCCUCCAGACGAGGCUCCUCUAAAACCACCCAAACCACGGGUCCUCUUGUCCUCCCGCUCCUGCCUACGAACAUGCUCUAAGCGCCUGCAAUUUAAAUUACUUGGUAGAAGCUAGUAUCAGUCUUGGACUCCCAGGACAUACCAUAUCGGAUACCAUAGAUGAGGCCCUCAAUGAACCUCUUGAUUCUCUCUCUCUCUNNNNNNNNNNNNNNNNNNNNNNNNNNNNNNNNNNNNNNNNNNNNNNNNNNNNNNNNNNNNNNNNNNNNNNNNNNNNNNNNNNNNNNNNNNNNNNNNNNNNNNNNNNNNNNNNNNNNNNNNNNNNNNNNNNNNNNNNNNNNNNNNNNNNNNNNNNNNNNNNNNNNNNNNNNNNNNNNNNNNNNNNNNNNNNNNNNNNNNNNNNNNNNNNNNNNNNNNNNNNNNNNNNNNNNNNNNNNNNNNNNNNNNNNNNNNNNNNNNNNNNNNNNNNNNNNNNNNNNNNNNNNNNNNNNNNNNNNNNNNNNNNNNNNNNNNNNNNNNNNNNNNNNNNNNNNNNNNNNNNNNNNNNNNNNNNNNNNNNNNNNNNNNNNNNNNNNNNNNNNNNNNNNNNNNNNNNNNNNNNNNNNNNNNNNNNNNNNNNNNNNNNNNNNNNNNNNNNNNNNNNNNNNNNNNNNNNNNNNNNNNNNNNNNNNNNNNNNNNNNNNNNNNNNNNNNNNNNNNNNNNNNNNNNNNNNNNNNNNNNNNNNNNNNNNNNNNNNNNNNNNNNNNNNNNNNNNNNNNNNNNNNNNNNNNNNNNNNNNNNNNNNNNNNNNNNNNNNNNNNNNNNNNNNNNNNNNNNNNNNNNNNNNNNNNNNNNNNNNNNNNNNNNNNNNNNNNNNNNNNNNNNNNNNNNNNNNNNNNNNNNNNNNNNNNNNNNNNNNNNNNNNNNNNNNNNNNNNNNNNNNNNNNNNNNNNNNNNNNNNNNNNNNNNNNNNNNNUCUCUCUCUCUCUCUCUCUUUCUCUCUCUCUUAUACGGACCAAAAUAUGGCAUGACGAGCUAACUCCGUAAACCUUAUCUCGUACAGAGUCAAAGUCAAUCCCUCCUGGCAUAGGUACUUAAACUCAAUAUGCAACUUAUCCCCGGGAGUCUGGGGUAUUAACUUCUCCAAGAAGAGAAGUGAGAACUGAGACCAAGUAAGUAGUGCUGCGCUAGUUGCACUACCCAACUCAUAGGUUUGCCAUCACUUGUAGGCUUGUCCUAUUAGCUGGAAAGUAGUAAAGUCAAUCUCAUUAGAAUCCAUUAGACCCAAUAUGCAAAGAAUCCGAUGACACUGAUCAAGAAAAUCUUGUGCAUCCUCUAUAGGCUCUCCACUGAAAUGAGAAGGAUGAAGUCUCUGAAAUCUUUCUAGUCUCUUCUGCUCCCCAGCAGUCAAAGAUGGUCUAAUCUCGAGCUGAACCACAGUAACUAGCCGCACAAGCAGAACCCCGAUGUUUGAUAAUCACGAGCCAUUUGCUCUGGUGUAUGUGCGGUGGGAGUCUGGGCUCCUCCCUCAGCCUGUGCGGUAGCUGGUGCAACAGGGAUCAUGCCAGCCUGAGCCAAACUUGUAUACACACUCAAAAUCUCAGCCAAAAGCUCCUGAAGACCAGGUGUAGUAAUAGGUACCUCUGACGCCUAAGCUGGUCCUACCGGGUCAACAUAAUCCAGAACCUGCUCCUCAACUGGAGAAAUAGGUGGAUCUACAAUUGCUUCUCUAGCAGGGGCUCUAGCUGUGGCGUGUGCCCCACCUCAGCCUCUACCUCGGCCCAGCCUCUUGUAGCCUUAACCUGGGGUAUUGAUUCUUCCCACCCGUAUCGGAAGAUGGUGUCUUCACUAAAUGUGAGAGAAUAGAAGAGCAAAAAUUAAAACUUCAGGAUAAACAAAUUCGUACGAUAGAGAAUGAAAGAAAUAGAAGUUUUCCUAAUUGCCCUCUAGCAUCUUGAAGAUAAGUACAAAUAUCUUUGUACCGAUCCGCAAGACUCUACUAGACUUGCACAUAACUCGUGAGCCCUAUGCAACCCAGGGCUAUGAUACCAACGUGUCAUGAUCCAAAACCACCAUCGGUUGUGAUGGCGCCUAACCCAUUUUCUAGGAGAGCCAGUCAUAAAGUAAAAAUGAAAAUAUGAUAAUGAAUUAUAUAAUAGAUAAGUCUAAAAGACCAAUAACCAUAAAUAAUAUCAAAUCAUAAUGUAACUCCCCAAAACUGGUAACACUGAGUCAUGAACUCUAUAAUAUGGAUACAAGUAUGAAAUACAUAAAUACUAUCUGAACAAUAAAUGCCAAGGAUUGCGAUGAGGAAGUAGCUCUACCUCGGUCUCCAAAACUCACCAAACAGCUCCGCUCACAAAGCUCGAUUGGGUCCAAAUCCUGAAUCUGCACAAUUAAGUGCAGAGUGUAGUAUGAGUACAACCGACCCCAUGUAUUUUAUAAGCAUCAUGACUAACCUCGGCGAGGUAGUAAUGGCAAGAAUAACCUGUCGUUUUUAAAGCGAAAAAGCACAUUCUUUUAAAAAAAUGUAUACAUAAACUUUCUGGAAAUCGAUAGGGCUACGCACCCAACUCAUAAAUUAUCAAAUAAAGCUAUGAGAGGUCUUGAAACAUAGAAAAGGAAGCUACUACUAAAAAUGACCUAUCAGGUCGUCACAUACUAUUUCUUUUUUACAGCAUCAUUUAAAUGUUCUCAGAUCCCAUAUUAUUUCUUAUUUGUUAUACUAUAUUAUCCUAUAGUGUUCAUAUGCUUUGGUAUGAUUUGUUGCUCCAACUGUAUUUUAUGGUUUCAAUGGUAAAAUUUCAUAUUCACAUGUAGUAUUAGUAAUUAAGUGAUAAGGAAGAUUAUUGCUUUAGUUUGUGUUUGGUAAAUAUUUCAUUGCUGUGUUUUAGUUUGUUUGAGGGUGAACCAAUUGUGAUAUUUAAUUGCUUCUUUAGAUUGACGGGGAUGAAUAUUUGCAGUACAAUGAAUAUUCUUGAUAUUUGAUUAGUAAAAGAAUUUGGCUCGGAGAAACAACUUCAUGAGGUGCCGUUCUUUGAAAUAUUUGGGUUGUAGUAUUCUCUCGUAAGAGAUUGGCCUUUUAGAUUAACAGAAAAGAAAUGAAUUUUAGACCCAACACUUUAAGUCUAGCUGUCCAAAGCCAAUAGUAAAAGCUAGUCCAAAGUCAAUCACUUUUAGCUGGCCCAAAUCUUUAAGUCUUUAGUUAUUAAACCAAUUCCGAAUCAUUUAAGCACGUCAGCAUGCUUUUAGGUGUGUUUCUAAAAUUUAACUAACGUGACUAUGUACACGUUUGCGUGACAUAGUCAUGAUCUACAAGUUAAAGGCAAAGUACGCGUUCGUGCGGCUUGACAAACUAUUUUUUUAAAUAAUAAUAAAAAUAUUAUUAAUUAUGUACACGCACACGUGGCAUGAUUUUGAUACACGAACAAGACAAAUACACGUACAUCUGACUUAUUUCAAGAUAAUUUUCAUAAAGCGAUAAUUUAGCAAUUAAAAGCAAAAAUGCAUAAGAUCCCCAAUAUAUAGAAUAUCCUGAAAUUAGAUUAUGCCAAGUGUAAAAUGUUAACCGACCGUACUAAUACUGCAGAACUCGGGGAGUGUCUUACACCUUCUCCCCGGUUAGCAGAAUUUCUUAGCCGGUCUUCUGUGUUAGCAGACUAUAAAUAGAGUCGAAACUUGCCUUGAUUAGGGAUUAAAUAAAAUGGUGACUUGGAACGCCGAAAAUAAACAAUUCCAAGUGAUGACUCCUAAAACUAAAAAAAUAACCCCUUUUCAAAUAAUAUCACUUAUAUUAGAAAAACUCCUUUCCACUCGGAAAAGGGAGGUGUGACACAUGGAUGAGAAGCCCUCUACGAAACAGCGAUAAUAUCCGGCCAAACCAAGAAAACUCUGAAUCUCAGUAGCUGAAGACGGUCUGGUCCAACUCUAAAAUGCUUCAAACUUCUUUGGAUCUAUCUUGAUCCCCACACUCGACGCCACAUGACCCAAAUCAGAUGCUGCUCAUGAUCUUCCCAACUGCGGGAAUAUACAAGAUGUCAUCAAUAAACACAAUGACGAAUGAAUCAAGAUAUGGUUGGAAUACAAUGUUCAUUGGGUGCAUAAAUGUUGAUGGGGCUUUGGUCAGCCCAAAUGACAUCACAAGUAACUCGUAGUGACCAUACCAAGUCCUGAAAGCAGUCUUCAGAAUAUCCGGAUCCUGAAUCUUCAGUUGAUGUUACCCUGACCUCAAAUCAAUCUUUAAGAACACCUUAGCACCCUAUAGCUGGUCAAAUAAGUCAUCAAUGCACAAAAAUGGGUACCUGUUUUUCACUGUAACCUUGUUCAGCUAUCUAUAAUCAAUACACAUGCGCAUAUAACCAUCUUUCUUUUUGACAAACAGAACCGGAGCACCCUAAGGUGACACACUAGGCCGGAUGAAACCCUUAUCAAGCAACUCUUAUAGCUGCUCCUUUAACUUCUUCAACUCUGCUGGUUCCAUACGGUAUGGUGGAAUAGAAAUGGGUUGAGUGUACGGCAACAAGUCAAUACCAAAAUCGAUAUCUCUAUCGGGAGGCAUGCCCGGAAGAUCUGCUGGGAAUACAUCUGGGAAGUUUCUCACUACUGAAACUAACUCAAUGGUAGGAGUAUCAGCACUGACAUCUCUCACAAAGGCUAGAUAUGCAUCACACCCCUUCUCAACCAUCUGAUGUGCCUUAAGGAAGGACACAACCCUGCUAGGAACAUAAUCCAAUAUACCCCUCCACUCUAAUUGCGGAAAACCUAGCAUAGCCAAUGUCACAGUCUUGGCGUGACAGUCCAGAAUAACAUCAUAGGGCAACAACCAGUCUCUGCCCAAGAUAACAUCAAAAUCUACCAUACUAAGUAAUAAUAGAUCAAUUUUGGUCUCAAAAUCACCAAUAACAACUAAACACGAUCGAUACACACGGUCCACAACAAAAGUAUCUCCCACAAGCGUGGACACAUAUACAAGAGAACUCAAAGAAUCACAAGAUAUAUCCAAAUACGGAGCAAACGUAAGAUGAUACAUAUGAGAAAAGAGAGCCGUAUCAAAUAAGACUGAUGCAUCCCAAUAAAAAAUCAGAACAAAAGUGUGAUAACUACAUCUGAUGCGACUACCUCUAUCCUACCCGAAAAAGCAUAGAAUUUGGCAUGGCCUCCUCUUCUAGGGCAACCCCUACCCGCCUGACCUCCACCCCUAGCUGGCUAUGCAGUUGGAGAGGCAACUGGAGCAGCAACCACAACCUAAGAAGUCGGUGGACCCUAUGGAAUACGUGGAGCCUGAGUAUACUAUAAAGGCGCACCCCUCCUGAGUCUAGGGCAGUCCCUCACCAUAUGUCGGGUAUCACCACACUCAAAGAAAACUCUUGGUGGACGUGGCUGCUAAAACUAGCCCUGGCCUAGUCAGCUAGACUGACCACUGAAGGCACCCCAGGUAGGAGGUGCACUAGAUAGUGGCUAAGCAAAAUGGGCAAACUGAGACCUCGGAGUAGUCGGAGCACCAUUAGAACCUGGAAGUGCUGAAUGAACUGUACAGCUCACAUAGCCUUUACCAUGGCGGGAUGUAGCUGCAGCAUGGCCACCACUAAAUCCUAUAGUACCUCAAGGCCUUUUUGUCCUCCCUAUUCUCUAUCUCAUGGCCUCACAUACCCUCCAACCUCCGCGCAAUAUCUACCAUCUGCUAAUAUGGGGUAUCUGUCUCUAACUCUCAAGCCAUGCUGAAUCUAAUACCUUAGUUGAGCCCCUCGACGAAUCGGCGGACUCGCUCUCUACUAUAAAAACCAAUGAAGGUGCAUGUCUGGACAACUCACUAAAUAUGACAACAUACUCUGACACUGUCAUAGCACCCUGGCGCAGCUGCUCAAACUCUGUGCGCCAUACAUCCUGAAGGCUUUAGGAACAAACUCUCUUAAUAACAUCUCUAAAAACUAAAUCCAUGUAAGUGAAGCUGCACCGGCUGGGCUACUCUCCUCGUAAGCCUGCCAUCUCUGACAUGCUGCUCUUGACAACUGAAAAGUAUUAAAAGAAAUGGUGGCACUUCUCUAGAAAACCCUGUGCAUCCCUAUAGCUAGGCUGCUGAAAGUAGGAGGAUGAUACUUCUUGAACCUCUCAAGUCUAAGCUACUCCUCCUCAAAUGACACUGCCCUAACCUCAGGCUGAACGGGAACAAUAUGUUGCGCUGGCAUAACCUCUGGAACCUGAUCAUUAUGGACUCGCUGCUCUAGAGUACGGGCCGUGGGAGUCUAAGCUCCUCCCCCGUCCUGAGAUAUAGCUGGAGCAAGUGGAAUCAACCCCGCCUGAGCUAAAGUACCGAACAUGCUCAAGAAGUUUGCUAGGGUCUCCUAAAGUGCAUGGGUGACAACAUGCAUCUCGGGUGCCUGCCCCUCAACUGGAGCUACUGGUGGCUCCUCAGUCGCUGCUCGGGCAUGUGCUCUAGCUGCACUAUAUGCCCCUCCUCGGCCUCUGCCCCGGUCUCUCGCGGCUCUAGCAGGGGGCGCGAGUGUCUGAUCGUCGGAUCCACCAGUGCGUGUCCUCACCAUCUGUGAUAAAAUAGAAAGACAAAGAUUCAGAAUUUUAAAGUCAACAAGUUCGCACUAUAAGAAAUCAAAGAAGUGAAGUUUCCUAACAGUUUCAUAGCCUCUCGAAGAUAAGUACAGAUGCCUCUGUACCGAUUUGUAGGACUCUACUAAACCUGCUUAUGAGUCUAACAACUAUGAACCUAUAAUUCUGAUACCAACUUGUCACGACCCCAAUUUCCCACCGAAGGAUGUCGUGAUGGCACCUAGUCUCUAAGACUAGGUAAGCCUAACAUGCAUGGAGAAAUACGGAAAUAAUAAUAACACUUAAAAUCCAAACCAUCUAAAUUAUCAUAUUUGAACUCAACAGUACAACUGACAAUAACUCUCAAGAUCUGGUGGAACAGAGUCAUAAGCUCUACAUGAAUAUACUGUAAAAUCCCUAGUACAACACUGUCUAGAUAAGAGUAAACAAUAACAAAAUAAGGACAGAAGGUGACUCCGAGGCCUGCGGACACCGAGAAAGUAUACCUUGAACUCUCCGAACUGUAUGAUCCACUCCCUAAUGCCUAGACUAAGCUGAGGUACCUGGAUCUGCACAAAAAUGUGCAGAAGCAUAGUAUGAGUACACCACGAUGGUACCCAGUAAGUAUCAAGCCUAACCUCGGUAGAGUAUUAACGAGGUCAGGUUAAGACACCUACUAGGAUAAGAAAAGGAAACUGAACAAGUAUAGUAUACUCUAAUAAUAAAAAUGAGGAAAUAAUGGCAAUAAAGCAAUACUACAAAGUAAGCUACAACUGAAUUUAAAGCAAUUAAGGCAACACAGAAGGAACACAAAAUAAGAACAUCAAGAAAACAAUGCGGACUAAUACACGUGAGGUAAAUAAGAGAUAACAACAAGAAUCACAAUCGAGGUACCACCUCAUAAUCUCAUUUCAAUAUCACAAUCACAAUCUUUCCUUAUACCGUAACGUGAGCCUUACAUUUAGAUAGUUUUGAAAAUAUUUUUACCGAAAUAGCUACACGCACUUUAGCCCAUCUUAUGUCGUGGCUUGGCUUCAAGUAAUUCCCUUACCAGCAAUAUGCACAUAGACCCCACCAUAUGUCACCGCUUGCACAUUAACCCUGAUCCUUAUACCGUAACAUGCACAUCAAUAUCACAACAUAAUCACAACUUGCACCACAAGUGCACAUAUGCCACAACUUGCCAAAAUAAUCAACAAAACCAAUGUUUUCCAAAUAAAUAGCCCAUGGCUCAACCACAAUGUGUACAAGAGUCGCAACAAUAAUAAUAUAAUAGAGAAUAGCGGAACAAGAACGAUAUCUCAACAAUUAACAACUUUGCCUCAAAGUGAUAAUGGCUUUUACAACUUCAAUACCAAAUACUAAACAAGAAGAUAUUCCAUGAAAUAACAACUUCAAGUAAUUAAUUCAACAAUUAAAGAAGUAACAAUAUAAUAAGAAAGGCAAUAACUUCAACUAAAGCAUAUAAGAGCAAAAUAACAAGUAAGAGGUGAAACAAGUGUUAACAAUGUCAAAUAAAGCAUAUGAGGGUAGAUUAACACGUGUAACGGUAGAUUAACAAUGAAAGAUAUAACAUGUUAUAACAAUUCAAUUAAAGGCAUAUAAAGAGUCUAAAUAGCCUAAAUCGUUCAAAUACCACAUAUAGCUUGUGUACCCACUCGUCACAUUACGUACACAACUUCCACAUAUCACAAAUAGCACAAUCAACCCAAAUCCUAAGGGGUAGUUUUCCCACACAAAGUUAGGCAAGAUACUUACCUCAAACAAGCCAAAUCAAUCCCCUAAUAAGCCUUUCUCGUGAAAAUCCAACUCCGGACAGCUCGAAUCUAGCAAAAAUAACUUAAUACCAUAAAUACUAACCAUAGGAAACUAUUUCGGAUAAUAAAGUUGAAAUCUUUAAAGAAAGUCAAAAAGUCAACUCAAAAGGUCAACCUCGGGCUCGCACCUCAGAACUAGACCAAACUUAUAGAAUACGAACACCCAUUUACUAGUGAGUCCAACCAUACUAAAAUUAUCCAAUUCCGACCUCAAAUCGACCUUCAAAUCCUCAAUUUAUAGUUUAGGAGGUUUUCACAAUAUUUCCCAAAUUUUCAACUCAAAAUAAUAAUUAAAUGAUAAAUAAAUGAUGAAUUCAUAAAUAAUAAUCAAAUCAAGAGUCAAAAACACUUACCCAGAUCAAAUCCUUAAAAAUCCCUUCGAAAAUCGCCAAAAACCAAGCUCUCUAACUCAAAAGAUGAAAAUAAACUCUAACCCUCGAUUUAGCCCCUUUGGUGCCUAGUUAUUCCACUUUUGUGGUCAUAGGGUUUCUUCUGCGACUCCGCACCUACGGAAAAUCAAUCGCAGGUGCGGCCUCAACUAAGUUAGGGACAUUCCACUUCUGCAGAACAAAAUGCGCAUAUGCGCUUCCGCUUCUGCAGACAAUUGACCGCACAUGCGGUCCUGAGGCUGUUUACCAAACUUUGCUUCUGUGGUGGGAAAACCACACCUGCGUAAGGAUGUCCACACAUGCGGACCCAGCAUCAACCAUCCCAUUACACACAUGCGGCCACUGGACCGCUUCUGCGGUGUCGCACCUGCAACCAAAAGUGCGCAGGUGCGAUUGCACCAGAACUUCAGCUGUGCAGAAAUCCUUCUAAGCCACAAAAUGGACCCAAACCAAUCCAAAUCAUACCCGGGGCCCCGUCCAAACAUACCAUCAAGUUCCAAAACACAUAACGAACCUACUCGAGGCCUAAAAUCACAUCAAACAACAUUAUAUCUACAAUUCGCACCCCUUUUAAAGCCUAUUGAAUCCAUGAACAUUCAACUUCCAAAAGUAACGUUGAUUCAUACCAAACCAACUCCGAUUGACCUCAAAUUUGUACACAAGUCACAAAUGACACAACAGACCUAUUCCAACUCCCGAAAUCGAAAUCUAGACUAGAUAUCCAUAAAGUCAACUCUUGGUUAAACUUCUCAACCUUCCAAACCUUUAACUUUCUAACUACGCCAAUUCAAGACAAAAUGACCUACGAACCUCCAAAUCAAUAUCCGGACACACUCAUAAGUUCAAAAUCACCAUACGAAGCUAUAGAAAUCAUCAAAACUCCAUUCUGGGGUCGUCUACACAAAGGUCAAACUCCGGUAAACUCUUUCAACUUAAGCUUCCAACCUUGGGACUAAGUGUCCCAAUCCACUCUGAAACUCACCUGAAACCAGACCAACUACCUAGGCAAGUCACAUAACCACUAUAUAACAUAGAUGAGGCAAUAAAUAGGGGAAUUGGGCUAAAAUACUCAAAAUGACCGGCCAGGUCUUUACAUCCUCCCCCUCUUAAAACAAAUAUUCAUCCUCGAACGAGUAUAGAGACAUUCCUGAAGUGGUAAAUAGAUGAGUAUAACGGCUACGCAUAUCAUGCUUGGUCUCCCAAGUCUCUUCAACUGGUUGACCCUUCCAUUGAACCUUCACUGAAGCAAUAUUAUUUGAUCUCAACUUUCGAACAUAUCUGUCCAAGAUGGCCACCAACUCCCCAACAUAAGUCAAAUCCUUUUCUAAUUGGACUGAGCUGAAGUCUAAAACAUGGGACGGAUCACCAUGAUACUUCCGGAGCAUGAAAACAUGGAACACCGGGUGAACUACAAAUAAGCUAGGUGGCAAUGCAAGCUUGUAGGCGACCUCUCCCACUCUCUCAGGGGUAUCAAAAGGACCGAUAUACCUAGGGCUCAAUUUGCCCUUCUUUCCGAACCUUAUCACACCCUUCAUAGGUGAAACCCAGGGCAAAACCCUCUCUCUAACCAUGAAUGCAACAUCACGAUUGCAAUUGGGUCAUGACAUACAUCCUACAUAACGUAGAGGCUACUCAAGUAACCUCGGCUUAAUCAGAAAAACAAAUUGAAAUCCUAGGAAUUCAGAGUUAGCAAAAUAAUCAUAUCUGAGAAGAAAUGGUCAUAUCUUGGGCCAUAUUAAUAACUUUUGGGUAACAUUUAUAUAUAAAUAGUAAUACAACUCUAACACUUUAAAAAUAUUUUCCUUUGCAAUAGAAACUAUUUAUUUUAUUGAUUGAUUAUGAGAAAAUAAAUAAGUUAUUUUUCGAAAAAACAAUUCAUACCAAACACACCCAAAGGGGAAAAACUCUAUCAUUUUCACGAACACAAUAACAACAUCAAAAAUUGCAAACUAAGAAAAGAAAGGGUAACAUAAAAACCAAAAUAUCAAGAAUAAAACAAGGAGAAAAGGUCUUAUUCUAGGCCUUAUCAAUACUAGCUUAAGGUGCCACAACCCAAAAUCCAACUAGCUGUGAUGACACCUAACCCGACCCGCUAGGUAAGCCAAAUAAAAUUCAAUACAACCCAACUGAGAAUAAUAAGAGUCAAUAAAUAAAAUAACUAAAUUUCUAUACAAAAUUCCAAGGAUUGGUAGUACAAGUCAUGAGCUACUAAGACUUCAUAUUUACAAAACUGGCAUGAAAAAUAACUACAAUGUCUGUUUGAAUAUACAUAAACAGAACUCAAAUCUAGAACUACCAAGAACAGGUGGUAGCCAUGUUCGGACAAUGGGCACAUAUUCAAUUCAACUUCCACCUUGUGCAACAAUAUCAGCUCCAAGAUCUGCACGCAAGGUGCAGAAGUAUAUUAUGAGUACAACCGACCCUAUGUACUCAAUAAGUAACAAACCUAACCUCAGGUUGAAAGCAGUGACAAGCUUGGAAGAAGGCCAGUGUACAACACCAAUAGCCAAUAACAACUCGUAGUAAUAUAAUGAGAUUAGUAAAGGUAAAUAACUCAAGAGAUAUAUGCUCAGCUCAUUCAUAGUUACUCGAAAGUAAGCAUGCUUUUCAAUUAUAACAGUCAGGUCCAAAUCUUACCACUGAAAAUCAACUAAACAUCAGUUUAUCAAAGACUGUAUUCCAAAUUCACAACACAAGAUAAGAAUCUCUGUUUAUCAAUUAGCAUGAGGAAAGUACAUAUAUAUGCCUACAUGUCAAUAUACAUGCCACGUCAUCAAUUAUCAUAUACCGUCUAUCAUGAGGAAUAUACAUCUCUAUGACAACAUGUCAAAUAUGCAUGUCAAAUGAAUGAUUUCACGGUGAUAUCCCUAGGUACUUUCACUCUCAACAUACUCAAGUUGUUUAUCCCAAAUGUCCACUUCAUCACACACAUACAAUCACUCAACACUGUAUGGGUGCCUUGCAUCAAUGCCCCUCACCAAAGCACGUGUAUGUAUGUCAAUGUGCUUGCGUUCACUGCUACUAUGUUAGACUCUAGAGGGUGGAUCCUGCCCUAGCGCUAAUCAAAAGCUAAUAAGGCCUGAAGUGCGUGUAGCCCGAUCCACAAUAAUAAUAAUAAUAAUAAUAAUAAUAAUAAUAAUAAUAAUAAUAAUAAAUUCAAUAAUGCAUGUUGCAGAGUGCAGCCCGAUCCACAAUAAUAACAAAGCCAAUAAGGCAUGUUGCGACAUGCAGCCCGAUCCACAAUAAUAAUAAUAAUAAUAAUAAUAAUAAUAAUAAUAAUAAUAAUAAUAAUAAUAAUAAUAAUAAUAAUAAUAAUAAUAAUAAUNNNNNNNNNNNNNNNNNNNNNNNNNUACUACUCAGCCCAACAACUCCACAUAUGGGAAAAAAUAAUGGUAACAUACGAUGAAUGAAGAACAGAGACUGAGAUAGAAUAUGUAAAUGAAGAACCAUGAUUGAGUGUAUAAUUACGGUUAAAUCAGAUAAUUCAAAAUAAUAGAAAUAGCCUCAUUAGGUCUCGACCGAAUGAGCACAUAGCCUAAACGUGACUUCUAACAUGAAUCACAGCUCAGGUAAUCAAACAAGUAGGAAGCAUAUGUAUAAAAUAAGACAUGAUGGCAAAACAGUACAAAAGUCAGCCCGAAUCAUGAUUAUCUGGUGCACGCCCACACGCCCGUCACCUAGCAUGUGCGUCAUCCCAACACAUCACAAAUAACAUGGUUCCCAGGGAUAUUUACCCUAAAUUCCAAGUUUAGAAAUGUUACUUACCCUGAACAAGAUAAAUCCAUUAGCGAGCAAGCCAAACAAUACUCUAGAAAUGUCAUCCCGCGCAUAUCAACCUCAAAACGGCUUGAAACUAGCCAAAAGCAACUCAAAAUAAUCAAAUAAUGCCAAAGGAAACAAACUCAAACGAAAAAGGUCGAAUCUUUAAUCAAAUAUUCAAAGUCAACCAAAAGGUUAACCCCGGGCUCGUACCUCGAAACCUAACAAAACUUACAAAAUCAGAUAACUCAUUUAAUUACGACUCCAACUAUACUAAUUUCACUCAAAUCUGACUCCGUAUCGAUAUUCAAAACUCAAUUAUUCACUUUAGAAAUGUUUUUGAUAAACGAAAACCCCCAAUGCUCCAACAAAAAUAUAGAUUAAUUCACAAAUGAACUACUGUAAUCAUGUUUAAAAUAUAAAAAUUAAGGUUAGAUAUUGACCCCCCAUGAAAAUACCUGAAGAACGCCGCAAAAAUCACCUCAAUCGGAGCUCUAGAACUCAAGAUAUGCUCAAAUUACCAAAAGAACGUUAUCUGAUUUUUUUAUACACAGGGAUUUCCGCUUUUGAGCCCAAAAAUCCGCACUUGAGGUUUUCCAGCUGUCAUUUCCGCUUUUUCGGACCAUUCUUUACACCUGCGGGGUCGCAAAUGCGGACCCAACUUCGCAUCUGCGAAGCACGGGCACUAGAUUUCUUCUACGAUACUAAAAUGAUCAUAACUCCCUCAUACGAUUUUCACAUUUGACAAUUAUUUUUGCUAUGGAUCCGUAAUUAUGAUAUGGAUCCAAUGCUUCAAUCAAAACAUAAUUUAGAGCUCGUUUUCUUAAUGGGGUCCCACUUAUGCUUGAAGAAACGAUGCCAAAACAUCAAAAACGAGCGCAACACAACCUAAACCUAUCCGAAACUUACCCGAGCCCCUCGGGACCCCGUCCGAACAUACCAAUAAGUCCCAAAACAUAAUAAGGACUGCAUGAGGCCUUAAAUCCAACAUAACAACAUCAAAACCAUGAAUCGUCUAUCAAGAUCAAUCUCUUAAGUCCAUAAACUUCAAAAUUCGAACCAAGUAUCUGAUUCAAGCCUAACCAAUCCAAAAUGAACCCAAAUUUUGCAUACAAGUUCCAAAUGACAUAUUGAACCUAUUCCAACUAUCGAAACAAAAAUAUGAUCAUGAUAACAUUGAAGUCAACUCCCCGUCAAACCUAUGAACUUUCCAAACCUUCAAAUUGUCAACUUUCGCCAAUUAGCGCCAAAACCUUCUAGAAACAUCCAAAUACAAAUCCGAGCAUACGCUUAAGUCCAAAAUCACCAUCCAGACCUAUCAGAACCAUCAAAACCCUGAUCUGAUGUCAAAUACACAAAAAGUAAAACUUGGUCGUCUCUUCGAACUUAAAGCUACCUAAUUGAGAAGCAUUCCUCCAAAUCAAUCACGAAUCACCCGAAAAUUAGAACCGAUAAUACACACAUGUCAUAAUAUAUUAUACGAAGCUACUGAUGCCCUCAAACCACCGAACGGAAUGCAAAUGCUCAAAAUGAUCGAUCGGGUCAUUACAUUCUCCCCCACUUAAACAUAUGUUCGUCCUCGAACGUGCCAAGGGUCAUUUCAAAGCCAUAAAAUCAUCGUAUAACCUCCUCUUACACAUACCCGUGGGUGAUCCCACAUCACCCCAAUACUUAUAAGCCUGAAAACACAACGUAACUGAAGAUCCUUAUAUCAACCUUAGUCUAUAAACCUUAGAAUCAAAUCUCCAACAUCUGGAACUCAUUAUAAGACCUGAUUCUCGCAUCUAUGCAUAGGGCAAGUCUGAACAAGCCGUAUCAAUUCAUAACCAUAACCCCAGAUAAAAUCGCAUGAUAUACUACAUAACCCAAAUUCUCAUAGCAAUAACUUCCUACCACAAUAGCUGCUCAAUAAUAAACCCGGUACCAGUAACAAACUUCAUAUAAAAUAUGUAAUGAUCCAACUGGUUGAUUUGAGCAUUUGUAUUCCGUUCAGUUGUUUGAAGUCUUGAGUAGCUUUAUAUGAUGUAUUAUGACUUGUUUAAAUCAUCGAUUUUUGGUUUUCAGGUGAUUCAGGAUUGAUUUGGAAGAAUGAUUCUCAACUAGAAAGCUUUAAGUAGGAAGAGUAGACCAAGUUUGACUUUUGUGUAUUUGACCUCGGAUCGGAGUUUUGAUGGUCCUUUUAGGUCCAGAGGUUUAUUUUUGACUUGGGCAUAUGCCCGGAUUUGCAUUUGGAAGUCGCUAGAAGGUUUCAGUAUUAUUUGGCAAAAGUUGGCAAUUUGAAGGUUUGAAAAGUUUAUAAGUUUGACCGGGAGUUGACCUUAAUGAUAUCGGGUUCGGAUUAUUAUUUUGGGAGUUGGAAUAGGUUCUUUAUAUCAUUUGGAACUUGUGUGAAACAUUUGAGGUCAUUCCAGUUGAUUUGAUAUGGUUCGACACGAGCUUUCGAAGUUGAAAGUUCAUAAAGUUUGAUUUGAGGUGCGAUUCACGAUUUUGAUGUUGUUAUGUGAGAUUUGAGGCCUAGAGUAGGUCCAUGUUAUGUUUUGGGACUUGUUAGCAUGUUCGGACGGGAUCCCAAGGGGCUCGGGUGAGUUUCGAAUCAUUUCCAUGUUCUUUGGUACUGCUAAUUUCUGGUGUUUUAGGCCUUCUCCGCGAUCGCGAAGAUUGGAUCGCGUAGUGUAUCAUGGGAGCUGGGUAUUUCCUUCAUCGCAUUCACAACUGGUUAAUACAUAGAACACAUCAGAACACGAAUAACAUUAACUCUAAUCGAUGACAACACCCGCUAUAAUAAUUGCGCUGAGUAAACAAGUUUGUCCCGAUGUAGAAUAUACAUUUUCAUUAGGCCUACCAGCGGCCUCCAAAUGAAUUCUGAUCCUUCCAAAAUAGCUGGAUAGCCUCUGAAAAUCCCACAAUAGCAUAUCUAUAACACAUAUCAUCAGUCUCCAACCUCUUAACAUACAUUUACCGCCCGCAACCGUGGAAUAAGUUAGCUCUGAGAAACUUCUUAGUCUUCUUAUCCUUAGAGUGCAAGAAUCUCCUUAUCCGAUCCCAACUGCACUACUAAAAUGACUAACACCUUCCCCAUACACGAUCAUCCUAUGAUAAAUAUUCCAUAAUUUGUUCGUGCCAUAUAGAAAAAUUUGAACAUCAACGGUCGAUCAAUUAGGCAAUUACCGUAAUACUAGUCAAGCAUCCGUUAGUCGAAGCACAAUGUGCCUUCUCGAGUAGGCACCCUUCUCAGGUGGUACCAAAUGAUGCUAGAAUUCUUCUAAACAUCUGAAAUUGUCCAUGUUGUCUUCAACUUGUGACCCCAUCCAAACAAAAAUCAUAACACGCAACAUGUUCCUUCUGCCGGUAGCAGACAUCUAGUUCAAGCCAUGGUCGACACUAUCAAGAACUCUUCGAGACCCGUAUGCCACAACCAAGCCAUUAGAACUGAACUUCCUCAACUCAACGAAGUCACGCAAGCCAUCAAACCCAAGAGUACUGCCACAAAAAUGCUGGUAAGGCAUAACCAUACCAAGAGAACCAAUUACCUUUAUUACCAUGCUGACACAACACCACCAAGCUGACCCACUUCCUAUAAUCUUCCCCGACUUGUCUUCAAGUUAACACUUCUCCUCGUCGGUACACAAUGAUUCCAAAUCAAAGCUCGCUGCAGGAGAUACUAGCACGAACCACGUCGUCUGAAGGACCAUAAAUUUUUGUAUUUCCUCUGAAUCACCCAACAAUGCUACAACUGAGAUACCCACUCUGAAGAGACCUUCUAUGAAUCUAAAGAUGCUCAUCUAACCUCUCUGAUACUGAAAUGUAGAUUUAGCAGUAAUACAUAUAUACCGCAUAUAUACCUCAGACCCAAAGCUGAUAUAACACUUGUCCAUGCAAUAUGAUUGUCGAUAGUUAACUCUCCACUUGGCGCGAAGCCAUAGGACAAAACAUCUGAUGAUCCACAAUACCAACCUUCAUAAGCUAAUACAGCACCAGUCAAAUACAAAAACCCGUUGCAUCGCACACAUGAAGAACUGAUGAUCAACAAAAACCCGUUGCAUCCCACACAUGAAGAACUGAUGAUCAACCAAAACGUACGUGUCCUCAGUCUAGACAACACCUUUAGACAAUGAUCGAGCAUCCAUGGACCCCUCGUAUCCCAUCCGUAGUAUUCAGAAUCAUCGAAGCAUAGGUGAUACCGAGUGCGCAUCAUCAUAGACGAGUGGAUAUAAAGGUGUUACACCCCAUGUUUUCGUACGUAAAACUUUGUUGCAAUCAAUUUAUGUAAGUUAUGAAAUGAGAUCAUCUUUGAAAGUACAUAAAUUAAGUUAAUCAUGUUAACUUGGAGGUUACAAACACUUAAGAUCAUGAACUGCAAGUACCAAGAGGGUUGGAAGGCUUAGAAGCUAUAUGAAUUGAAGAAAAUAAGUUUUGUCAAAAGUUGACAAGUUGGGAAUGUUAUAACAUGUACUUUGGGGGUGAGACUAAGGUUCUCAACGUGAUAAGGAGGUUAUGUUAUGAGUUAUUGUAGUCUUUAUAGUCUUGUGUUAUGUUUUGAAGUUAAGCGAGUUGUGGAACAAAAGUUGGCAAAGGUCAUCACAAGUUACAUUCAUAAAUGUGCUGAACAUUUGGUCAAAUAUAGUUGAGAUUUUCUCACAUUGUACUUAGAAUUAGGGGAUUAUCUACCUAUAUCAUUGAAUAUCUACGAGUCUAGUUUCUAACUCAUUAAACCGUUCAUUGAUACGACAUUGGAGUAGAGAGAUAUUCGCAUUUGUGUGAGACUGCGCAAGCAACUCCCUUGGGACCCACAAAGUCGAUAGAAAAGUCCAUCUCUUAUUUAAGUCAAUUUUAACUCAUUUAAACUCAUUGUUUCUCAACCAAAACAGUUCCAAAACAGUUUCAAGGCAAACUACAAGUGUUUACACACCAACUUGAACACCAAAAGUUGAUUCAAGAAGAGAAUACAACACUUAUAAUGUUGUGGUGCCAUUGAGGAUAGUUGUGGGCUGUGUUUAGCUGCAAUUUCUUGUUGUUUCUACUGUUUAAGGUGAGUAUAACAGCCUACUACAUGUUCUUGAAGUUUUUUGUAUGUUGGUUGCAUUAUUUGUGCAAAAUACUAUAAGAGGAGACUUGAAAUAGUUUGAGAUGUUAUUGUUUUUAAUGGACUGUUUUGGAAAGGUUGUUUCCAUGAAGUUUAAAUGGUUUAAACCUUGGAAAAUGACUUUAUUAUGAUCUUUGUAUUAUAAAUAUAUCGUCUACAAGUAAAACUUGUUGUUGGUACUGUGAAUAUGAAGAGAAAGGACAACAUAAUAAUGGAAAGUUAUAAUUGUUGUUGUUGUUACAUUGUUGGGCUGUUUGGGGGAGAAUUAGGAGAUGAAUUGGAGGUUAGAAGACCUCCCAUUAUACUUAAUAUCAUGCUUGAUAUGUUGUUAAGUUAAUGAAUUUGCGGUUAAAGGGUUCAAAAGAUAUUCAAUCCGAGCUUGUCGUUCGUCGUGUUAAAUAGUGAUUUCGUUGGUGUUGUUUAUGCACUUGUUAUUGUGUAGCUUGAUUUGUGUUAUGGUGCUGAAAGUAUAUAUGUGAAGGUUGUAUGGGUUCUUGUUAGUUUAUGGACUUGGGAAUGCAAGAAAAACAGGGGAGAUGCCGCCCGUUUUAAUACAAAAUAAGCUUGUCGUUCAUUGUUUGAUAGUUGCAUCUUUCGUAGCUUAACGAUAGCAUUAUUAUCGUUGCUGUAGAUUGAAGUGUGGCGAGACAAUUUCAACAUGGUUAUUGGACAUCGUGUGAUAAGGUAUGUUAAGUCUAAACCUUUCCUUCAUUUUGGCAUGAUCCCAUAACUACAUGCGUUUGAUAACGAGACAUAAUGAGAAGUUCGUAUUCAUGAAUUUAUGAACAUUAUCCUUGUCUUAUAAGUUAUCGUAUUCUCCCUUAUCGGGACUUUAUAUUCAGUUAAGUAUUGUCUUCUUCCAGUCAAGAGAGUAGAUGGUCUAUAAAUAAACAUACAGUAUUACAAUAUUUUCACCACCAUUGAGCUAUAAUCGGCGGGCAGACCCCUAUUGGGCGUAUUACAAUAUUUUUGCCACCAUCGAGUUAAAAUCGGUGGGCAGGUCCCUAUUGGGCAACCUCUAAUUACAUAGUAAGUUAUACACCAGCCUACUGUGGCUGAGCGCCUAUGAGAGAGCCCAGAAUGGACGAGAUACCGAGCCUAGUAUGGCCGAGCGUCUAUGAGCAAGCCUAUUAUGGUAGAGCAGUUAUACGUAUCUAGCCUUAAAGGGUCGGACAACUNNNNNNNNNNNNNNNNNNNNNNNNNNNNNNNNNNNNNNNNNNNNNNNNNNNNNNNNNNNNNNNNNNNNNNNNNNNNNNNNNNNNNNNNNNNNNNNNNNNNNNNNNNNNNNNNNNNNNNNNNNNNNNNNNNNNNNNNNNNNNNNNNNNNNNNNNNNNNNNNNNNNNNNNNNNNNNNNNNNNNNNNNNNNNNNNNNNNNNNNNNNNNNNNNNNNNNNNNNNNNNNNNNNNNNNNNNNNNNNNNNNNNNNNNNNNNNNNNNNNNNNNNNNNNNNNNNNNNNNNNNNNNNNNNNNNNNNNNNNNNNNNNNNNNNNNNNNNNNNNNNNNNNNNNNNUCAGUUAUUAUGUUAUCAAUUCAGUCUCAAUUUUCAGUUAUUCUAUUGCCUUACAUACUCGGUAUAUUAUUUCGUACUUACGUCCCUUCUGUUGGGGACUCUGCAUUUUAUGCCUGCAGGUUCUGAUAGACAGCUGGAUAGACCUUCCCAGUAGACAGAUCCAAACAUAAGCUUGGUUAGUAAGCUCCACUUUCCCGGAGUUACCAGGUCUAGACGUUAGAGUCCAUUUUAUAUAUACGGGUUUGAUGGGUAGGUCGAGGCCCUGUCCCGACCAUGAUAUUGUUCAGUUAUCUCUAGAGGCUUGUAGAUGAGUCCUGUAUAUUUUGUAUAUCAGUAUUUUAGCCUUGUCAUCCAUGUGUACAUGUUCAGUUAUGUAUUGUUGGUUGUAGACGUUCAUGGUGGCCUCGUCGGCCUACACAAUUUUGUAUAUAAGCUUUUAGGUAUGUUUACCCCUCAUAUGAGAGAGACGUUAUAUUUAGAUGGUUUAGAAUAUGGUCCCAUCAGCCUUGAUUGGUAUUGUCAGCUCGUAUGUAGGCUUCAUCGGCCUAAGUUGAGGGUUACCCCUCCAGAGUUCACAAUUACAGAGUGGUAUGCUCAAGCAAACCACGCCUCCCCAGGUUUGGGGCAUAAAAAAGGAAUAUAAGAUGUAUGCUUCAAGAUGAAUCAAUACCACACGAUAAGGAAUGAAAGAAGUUCAAUUUCCUAAUAGUUUCGUAACCUCUCGAUUAUAAGUACAGAUAUCUCCAUUCCGAUGUACAAGACUCUACUAAACCUGUUUAUGACUCGUAGCACCUAUGAACCUAAAUCUCUGAUACCAACUUGUCACGAUCCUAAAUUCCCACCUUAAGAUGUCGUUAUGGCACCUAGUCUCUAAGACUAGGUAAGCCUCCUAUCACAUGAUGAGUUAAUAACAGAAUUGAACUAUUUUAUCAUUAAAUCAUAAACCAGUAAAUGACAUACAUAACUGCAAUGGCCAAUAGUUAUACAUUUCCCAAAAUCGGUAGUGCGGAGCCAUAAGCUCUGCUGAAAUACACUGGAAUUUCUAAAUACUAUAUUGUUUCAAUUUACAAUUUAACAGUAGCAUAAGGAAGUAAGAUGGUGACUCCGAGGCUUGCGAGUGUCAAGCAGGUAUACUUUGAAGUCUCCAUCGCGCAGACGCAACUCUCAAUAUCACGAUCAGAAAUACCUGGAGCUGAACAAAAAUGUACAAAAGCAUAGAAUGAGUACACCACAACGGUACCCAGUAAGUAUCACGCCUAACCUCGGUAUAGUAGUGAUGAGGCUAGGUCAAGAUACCUACUAGACAUAGAAACCUGUACAAGAUAUGCAUGAAGAUAACAAUGGAAAGAACACCAAUGUAAGGAUAACAGCGAAAAGAUUAUUGAUUUUUAACCAACAACAAAAUAAUAGAAACACAAAUGGCAGCAAGUAGUAAAUAGGUAAUAGAGAAGCAACAUAAUAAGAACACCGAUGAGAUAUGAAUGAACUCAAAUAAGGAGGAACCAAUAACAGCUCAAAUAAUCAAAUCGUUCCCAAUGCAUGGGCCUAAACCAAGAAUUACUCUGAGGCACCACACCUCGUAAAUCACAAAUCAUGUACCACAAUUUCCAAAUCUUACACGUAUGGCACCUCGUGCCCACAAUAACAAUUACCUUCACACGGGAAGGCCCAUGUGCUACCAUGUAUAUUGCAACCAUAACAAAUAUCAAUUAAAAUGAUUGAGAGUUAUAUUUAGACACCAUAAAGGAAAAUAGCAAUCUUGAAUAAAGUAAGGCGUCAAAUGAAAUAAUGAGUUUAUUUUAGAAAUCAAUUAAAGUAUACAAUUUAUAUAAAAUGGGGUAUCAUAUGGUUUUAGUUUAGAAAUCAAUAAAAUUGAGUAAAAAGUCAUAUUUAAACAAAGUAAAACAUCAGUUAAAUUAAUGAAUUAAAUAUAGAAUUUGUUAAAAGAGAAACGUGAUAACAAUUUUAAGUAAGGUAACCAAUCAAUAUGGUGUUGAGUAUAAUUUGAGGACCGAAUUAUAGUAAAAGGGAGAUAACCAUUUAAAAUAAUAAGGCACCUAGUGAGAUAGCAAGUUCUAUCUUAAGAGACACAUAGAAUAAAGCAUAUCAAUAAUUCUAUUAUUUAAAUCGUUAUGCUACCAAUAACUCAAUAAAAUAUGAUAUAAUGACUCCACACAAUUAAACUGACAUUUACAAUCAAUUUAUCAAGUUAUAACGGAGGCACAAAUUGACAUGUUAAAGUAAUACAACAAAUCACGUAGAAUGCAUGACCCACACAAGAAGCCACAAUCGUUCCAAUACCAAGAUAACAACGAAUAACCAAACACAAUCAAAAUGCGGAUGAAUGAUUGAAUGAAGAAUAAUAACCAUUCAAAUGAACAAGUUGUCCCAGCCUAGAAUGUACAAUAAGAAUUACAACUGAGGUACCGCCUCAAAAUCACAUUUCACAAGUCAUAAUCACAAUUUUUCCUUAUAUCAUAGCGUGAGCCUUACAUUUAGUUUUAAAAAUCAUUUUCCCGAAAUAGCUACACGCGUUUUAGCCCAACUUAUCUCACUGUGUGGCUUCAAGUAGAUCCCCUACUAGCAACAUACGUAUCAAGCCCACCUUAUCUCACCUCAUGCGUAUCAACCUCUAGCCUUAUACCACCGCAUGCGUAUCAAUAUCAGAACACAAUCACAAUUUGCACCACAAGUGCCCAUAUGCCAAAACUUGCCAAAAUAUCAACAACACCAAUGUUACCACAACAAAUAGCUCACGGCUCAACCACAACAUGUACAAGAAUCUCAAUAACAACCAAAUGAACGAGGAAUAACUCAACAAAUAAAGGUAUUCCAAUAACCAACAAUUUCAACCACAAACGUGUCAAUAACUCUCAACAACUACAACUUCCAUAACUCAACAAUGAAGGUAUUUCCAUUAAAUUGCAACUUCAAAUUCAAAUGCAUAACAUAAGCUCAACAACAAGAGAGGUAGCAUGAAAUAGCAACUAUGAUUAAAUGCAUAAGAAUAACUCAACAAUGUAAAGAAUAGCAUGUAACAACAACUACUAAUAAAUGCAUAUAAGAGUAACUUCGACAAUGGAAACUAGAACAUGUAAUAACAACUUCAAGUAAAGCAUGUAAGAAUAAACUUGACAACGAAAGAUUGAACAAUUAAUAACAACUUUAAUUAAAUGCUUAUAACUAACCUAAGAGUCUAAACCUGUCAAUUUUCACAUAUAAGCCCGUGUACAUACUCGUCAUCUCAUGUACACGUCUUCCACAUAAUUAAAAUAGUACAAUCGAACCCAAUCCUAAGGGGUAUUUCCCCACACAAAGUUAGGCAAGAUACUUACCUCAGAAAGAAGCUAAAUAAAUACUCUAAGAAGCCCUUCCCGAGUGAAACAAUCUCCAGACGGCUCAAAUCCUGUCAAAAUAACUUAAUAUCAUAAAUAAAAGUCAUAGGAAAUAAUUUCGAAUAAUAAAGCUUCGAUCUUUAAUGAACCCUGGGCCCGUACCUCGAAACUCGACAAAGCUUACAAAUUCUGAACACACAUUCCGAGACGAGUCCAAACAUACUAAAAUCAUUCAAUUCCGACCUCAAAUCGGCCUUCAAACUAUCAAUUUGUGUUUUAGAAAGUUUUUACUAAAAUACCCACUUUCUCCAAUUCAAAUUAUUAAUCAAACACUAAAAUCGAGGUUAGAAUAAUGAAAUAAUAACAAAUCUGAGUCAAAAAUACUUACCCCAAUCUAAGUAGUAAAAAUUUCCUCCAAAUUCGCCCAAAUCCAAACUCUAAAACCUUGUGAAAAAGUAACUAAAUUCUGAAACAAGAAACAAAUGCAGUCCCAGAUCGAGAUCCUAUCUCAUGACCCAAAACCCACUAUAGGCCGUGUUGGCGACUAACGUCACUGUUAGGCAAGCCAAUGGUGAACUAUCACGUCAAUUAUUCAUUUUAUUACUUUGAAAAUCAUAAAUUUUAUUAACUAAGGAUAUUUACACCUUUAAAAUCACGGGUACAUACAUAAUUAGUAUUUCAUAAAAAAAGUGAUAAUAAUAUGCAAAUAUGUAAGCAUCAACUAGAAUAUCCCCAAAAUCUGGUGUCACAAGUGCAUGAGCAUUUACUAAGGAGUAUAGUAAUAGUACAACAUCUGUCUGGAAUGUAAUGAGACAAGAUAUAGUAAAUAGUACGAUGGAGACUAUGUGGGCUGCGAUACGUAGCCUGGAAUGCAGCUCACCAUAAAGUCUCCCCAGCAGAUGCGCCUAUGCGCCAAGAUGACCACCAAUGAACCUGUCAGAUCCUGCACAUUUAGUGCAGAAGUGCAAUAUGAGUACGUAAAUCAAAGAGUACCUAGUAAGUAUCUAGCCUAACUCCAGAGAAGUAGUGACGAGGGGUCGACAUCGACACUUACUGUCCAAUAAAUCAGUAAGAUAAAUCAUAAACAGAUAUGAAGCACAACAGUAAUAAUGGGGUAAAACUGUAAUUUACAUAAUCUUCCAAAAAUUUAUUUUAAAGAUAUAAAUUUCUCAAUCUCGUAUUAUAUCUCAACAGCUCAUAUAUAUCCAGUACCAGUAUCAAACGGAUAAGGAAUACCAUAUAAAAUGUGAGGCGUCAGUGGAAGGAUAAUCUCGUGAAUAUUCGAACGUGUAGCGAUAUAACGCACGAUUAUGCCGAGGUCAUAUGGCCCGAUCCAGAAUAAUAUGUACACUAUCGAGGGUCGACCGACACGAACCAUAGAUGCAUCUACUAUAUUGCCGAGGUGUUCGGCCUGCUCCACAAGAAAGGAAGGAACUUAUCGAAUUACGAGGCAUGUACUUACAAUAUAGGUACAGGAGCAUAAAGUGGAUAUAACCUUUACCGUUUCUCAAUUAAAUGACCAACAACUCAGGGUGAAAAAGCUCGGCCUAGUAUAUGUGUAUUUCCAAACAAAUUUCAAUUAUGAAUUCAACAAUUAUUUAAGCUAGCAAUGGAGUUCAAAUAAUUCAAAUAUUACAUGAUAAACACCUGAGUCUACCCGGACAUAAACAUACUUUAGCUACGUACCGACUCUCGUCACCUCGUGUGUACGUAGCACCCAUAACUAGUAGCACAUAAGAAUUACAUCAUCUAGGAGGUAAUUUCCCCCUCACAAGGUUAGACAGGAGACUUACCUUGCUCCGAAGUUCCAUAACCGGCUCCCAUGCCUCUCUAACUCUUCAACUCAAAGCCAAACGAUCCAGAACUAGUCAAACAAUGUGGAAAUCAAUCAAAAUAUACUCUAAUGCGUAUAAUUUAACCAUUUAUAGUGAUUUCCAACUCCGCUUAAAAAGUCAACAAAGUCAACCCUCGGCUCGACAUGCCCGAAUUUCUAAAAUUCUUGAAGACAAUCAUUACCCAUAAUGCCACGAACUCAAAUAUACAAUUUCUUCCUAAUUCCUUGUCCAAUUUCGUGGUCAAAAUCCAAAAAUAGCAUUUUUUUAGGUUUUCUACUAAAAUUCCACAUAUUCUACCGAUAUCCAUGUUUAAAUCCAUAUAUAACUCAUGUACUUAGCUCACAAUGUGUAGAAAUUCCUUACCUCAAGGUAGAUGAUGAAGUUGGCUCCUCCAAAUCGCCCUAAAAAUCGCCCAAGCAAGAGAGGAAUGAGGGAAAUGAGAAAACAAUCCCAAUUGAGCAACAUAUAUUUUGCCUAGGCGUCUUCGCACCUGCGGGCACCCUAGCCGCACCUGCGGCUCCGCUUUUGUGGAAAAAUGUCUGCUCCUACGGAAGUCACUUAGGCCUCGCUUCUGUGCUUCUGCUCCUGCGGAGCCCAUCCGCUUCUGCGAAGCUAGCCACACCUCUCCAACUUGGCAUCUGCGGAGCCUCGUCGCAUAUGCGGGCUCGCAGAUGCAAAAAUCCUCCUCACACCUGUGACCACUACCCAGCUCACCCAUAACCACUUCUGCGACCCCUUGGCCGUUUUUGCGGUCUCGCACCUGCGGCCAAAAACCUCACAGGUGCGAUCACACUAGAAGCCUUAAGCUUCAGCAAUCCCUUAAGUCCAAAACUCGACUCGAUUCCAAUCUGAUUUGCACUCGAGGCCCCCCGGGACCCCAUCCAAACAUACCAACACAUCCCAAAACAUAAUACGAACUUAGUCGAAGCCUCAAAUCAUGUCGAACAAUAUCAAAAUUAUGAAUCGACGAUCGAAACCUUUCUUUAAACUUACCAACUUCCAAACUUUGUCGAACACGUCCGAAUCACACUUAAACAUCCCGAAAUGAUGCCAAACUUUGCGUGCAAGUCACAAAUCACGAUACGAAUCUAUUCCAAGGCUCGAAACUCCAAACGGACAUCGAUAACACCAAAGUCCACUUCAAAUUAAACUUAGGAAAUUCUAAAACCUCCAAAAUGCCAACUUUCCAUAUUAAGCACCGAAAUGCCCCCGUACUACUCGAUACUCAAUCCGAACAUACGCCCAUGUCUGAAAUCAUCUUGCGAACCUAUUGGAACCUUCAAAUCCCGAUUUCGAGGUCGUUUACUCAAAAGUCAAACCUUAGUUAACUCUUUCAACUUAAAGCUUCCGGAUUAGAAAUUUCUAUCUAAAUCAACUCUAAACUUUCCGAAAUUCAAUUCCGACCACACGUACAAGGCACAAUACCUGAAGUGAAGCUACUCAAGGCCUCAAACCGCCAAACGACGUGCUAGGGCUCAGAACAACCGGUCGGGUUGUUGCAUCCUAGAUGAUCCCAAAACUUAUGUUUGAUAAGCCUUACACGAUCUUUGCGAGAUUACACCCAAGAUAGCCUCUUGAAUCACCCAAUUUGACCUUAAAAUGAGGGAGAUAUGAUAUUUUUGAAGUUUUAAAAGAAAUCUGAAAAUUCAAUGGAAUAUUCGUAAUUAUUUACAUCAGAAAAAAAACGAGCAAUAAGAAAAUCUUCGUUUUAACACCCAAAACUUAUUCGGAACCUCCCCAACACAAACCAUAUAUGCAUUUCAAUCAUACAACACGCUACAAACCUGCUCGAGCACUCAAAACAUCAAAAAGAGGUCAUCUUGAUCCGAUAUUGACCAUGGUCAAACUUCAAAUCCUUAACUAGUUUGUCAACCAAUGUUCCAAAAUACAUCCGAGACCCCGGGACCCCAUCCAAUCAUAUCAACAAGUACAAGUACGUCAUACAAAUUUAUCCAAAUCCUCAAAACACCAACGGGAAAAUCACAACAAAGAAUCGAGGCUCAAACACUUCGGAUUACUUUCAAACUUUGCUCACAAGUUCAACUCAACUAUAUAAACCUUUCCAAAGUCUCGGAAUAUCAAUUGGAGUCCAAUAAUAUCAAAGUCAACUCUUGGUCAAACUUAUGAACUCUUAAGUUUUUCAAAUUACAACUUUCGACAAAUAGUGUCGAAUUCUUCUAGGAACCUCCGAAACCAAAUCCAAACAUACGUACAAGUUCAAAAUUAUUAUACAAACCUAUCAGAAUAAUCAAAACCCGAUUUCGAGUCUGUUUACCCAAAAGUCAAACCUUGGUCAACCCUUUCAACUUAAAACUUCUAAGACGAGAAUCAUUCUUCCAAUUCAUUCCCGAACCGCUCGAAAACUGAAACCAACCAUACACACAAGUCAUAAUACAUAAUAUGAAGCUACUCAAAGUCUCAAAACACCGAAUGGAAUGCUAAAGCUCAAAACAACCAUUCAGGUUGUUACAUUCUCCCGCACUUAAAUAUACGUUCGUCCUCGAACGUGCCAAGAGUCCUUCCAAAGCCAUCAAAUCGCCAUAUAACCUCACCAUACACAUAACCAUGGGUGAUCCCACAUCAUCCCAAUCCAUAUAAGCCCGACAACACCACCUAACAGAGGAUCCUUACUUCAACUGUAGUCCAUUAACCUUAAAACCCAAAUCCCCAACAUCUAGAACUCAAUAUGACCCUAUUCUUGCAUCUCUGCACCGUAUAACUCUGAACAAGUUGUAUCAUUCCAUAACCGCAUCUCAAGACAUAAUCACAUCAUAUACCACAUAACUUAAAUACUCAUUGCUAUAACUUCUGACCGUAAUAGCUGCUCGAUAACCAACCCGACACCGGUAACAAACCUCAUAUCAACUAAAACCUUGUUCUGAACCUUUGUACACUAUCAAUGAUGAAAGACACAUAUAGAAACUCAUAACCACCCAUCAGAUCAACAAGUUAUGGAUCUCUCUUGCCCGAUAAGAACCAUAGCCAAAAUCUAAGUCGACUAGUGAUAUUUUUCUUCCAAACAUACCUUAAUCAAAUCCAAUGGCACUCAUUUCAAGCCCAAUAACCUCACCUCAUCUAGUACAAGAUACUCGACUGACCUGUCAUACAAAUGCUACUUAGAGCCACAUACCAUGCAAUCCAUGCACCAACGAACAAUAACUCGAAUAUAACAAUUAUGGAAAAAGAAUGAAAAUGAAGGAACCAUCCCGCCAGCUCAACAGACACCACUAUGAAGCGCAAUGCUAUCGAUCCACCACACAAAGAGAAACAUAAAACACGAAAUAAGAACAAAGGAGCAUAUCCUAACAUAACGUCAUUGUGGUGCAUGACCCAAUCCGACACCGGUCCACCUGGAAUACGUUGAGCCAUGAUACUCACAAUCAACAACCAUAAGCAUAUCAACAGCAAACAUACGAAGUGCGUGACCAUAACCAUGGAGAUACAGAUAUCAUUAUAUACCAAAAACAGGAAGACCAUAACCAAGGAACAAUCAACCAUUCAACACCCCAAGAGCAAUCUCGCUCAAAUUUCGCUACAAAGCCCAAACAUAACUGCAUCAUAGGUAAACAGUCAACAGUCUCACAACCUGUCGUGGUGUAGAAGAGUAACAUAUAGAACACAUCAGAACACGAAUAAGGCCAAUUCUAAUCGAUGACACCACCCAUAACAAUAACUGUGUUGAGUAAACAAGUCUAUCCCGGUGUAGAAUAUACAUUCUCAUUAGGCCUACCAUCGGCCUCGAAAUCAAUUCUGAUCCUUCCAAAAUAGGUGGAUAGCCUCCGAAAAGCCACAAUAGCAUAUCUAUAGCACAUAUCAUCAGUCACCAACCUCUUAGCAUACCUUUAUCGUCCGUAACCAUAGAAUAAGCUACCUUUGAGAAACUUCUUAGUCUUCUGGUCCUUAGAAUGCCAGAAUCUCCAUAUCCGAUCCCAACUUCACUACUCAAACGACUGACACCUUCAUCAUACACGAUCAUCCCAUGAUAAAUACUUCCAUAAUUCCUUCAUGCCAUAUAGCAAAAUCUGAACAUCAGCGAUCGAUCAAUCAGGCGAUUACUGUAAUACUAGUCAGGUAUCCGCAAGUGGAAGCAUUGUGCGCCUUCUGGAGUGCGCACCCUUCUUAGGUGGUACCAAAUGAUGCUAGCAUUCUUCUAAACAUCUAAAAUCCUCCAUGCUGUCUAAAACUUGUGACCCCGUCCAAGCAAAAAUCGUAAUACACAACAUGUUCCUUCUGUCGGUAGCAGACAUCUAGUUCAAGUCAAGGUCGACACUAUCAAGAACUCUUCAAGACUCGCCUGCCACCACCAAACCAUCAGAAUUGAACUUUCCCAACUCAACCAAGUCACGCAAGCCGUCAAACCCAAGUGUACUGCCACAAAAAUGCCGGUAAGGAAUUACCAUACCAAAAGAACUAAUUACCUUUAUUACCAUGCUGAACCAACACCACCAAGCUGACCCAUUUCCUCUAAUCUUCCUCAACUUGUCUUCAAGUUAACACUUCUCCUCGUCAGUACACAAUCAUUCCAAAUCAAAGCUUGCUACGGGAGAUCCUAGCACAAACCACGUCAUUCGAAGGCCCAUAAACCAUUGUAUUUCCUCUGAAGCACCCAAUAAUAUUGUAACUGAGAUACUCACUCCAAAGAGGCAUUCUAUGAAUCUGAAGAUGUUCCUCUAACCUCUCUGAUAUUGUAAUGUAGAUUUAGCAAUAAUAUAGAUAUACCGCAUAUAUACCUCAGACCUAAACUGACAUAACACUUGCCCAUGCAAUCUGAUCGUCGAUAGUAAACUCCCUCACUUGGCGCGAAGCCAUAGGACACAACAUCCGAUGAUCCACAAUACUAGCCUUCAUAAGCUUGUGCAGCACCAAUGAGAUACAAGAACCCAUUACACCCCACACCUGAACAACUUAAGAUAUACCAACACGUCCAUGUCCUCAGUCUGGAAAACAGCUCGAGACAAUGAUCGAGCAUCCAUGGCCCCCUCGAAGCCCAUCCGUAGCAUUUCGAACCGUCGGAGCAUAGCUGAUAUCGAGUGCACAUCAUCUUAUAUGAGUGGAUGUAAAGGAAUGUAAGAUGUAUGCUUCAAGCUGAAUCAAUGUCGCACGAUAAGGAAUGAAAUGAGUGGAAUUUCCUAAUAGUUCUGUAGCCUCUCGAAGAUAAGUACAGACGUCUCCGUACCUAUAUGCAAGACUCUACUAAACCUGCUUAUGACUCGUAGCAUCUAUGAACCUAAAGCUUUGAUACCAACUUGUCACGACCCCGAAUUCCCACAUUAGGAUGUCGUGAUGACACAUAGUCUUUAAGACUAGGUAAGCCUAACACAUGUUGAGUUAAUAGCAGAAUUGAACUAUUUAAUCAUUAAAUCAUAAACCAAUAAAUGACAUACAUAACUGCAACGAGAAAUAGUUAUACAUUUAACAAAAUCGAUAGUACGGAGUCAUAAGAUCUACCAAAUUAUACUGGAAUUUCUAAAUACUAUAUUGUUUUGAUUUACAAUUUAACAGUAGCAUAAGAAAGUAAGAUGGUGACUCUGAGACCUGCGAGCGUCAAGAAGGUAUACCUUGAAGUCUCCACCGCGCAGACGCAACUCUCAAUAUCACGAUCAGAAAUACCUGGAUUUGUACAAAAAUGAGCAGAAGUAUAGUAUGAGUACACCACAACGGUACCUAGUAAGUAUCAAGCCUAACCUCAGUAGAGUAGUGACGAGGCCAAGUCAAGACACUUACUAGACAUAGAAACCUUUACAAGAUAUGCAAGAAGCUAACAAUGGAAAGAACAUCAAUGUAAGGCUAACGACGGAAAGAUUAGUGAUUUACAACAACAAACGAAAUAAUAGAAACACAAAUAGCAGCAAGUAGUAAACGGGUAAUAGAGAAGCAACAUAAUUAGAACACCGAUGAGAUAUGAAUGAACUCAAAUAAGGAGGAACCAAUGACAACUCAAAUAAUCAAAUUGUUCCCAAUGCAUGGUCCUAAACCGAGAAUUACUCUGAGGCACCACACCUCGUAAAUCACAAAUCAUGGACAAAUAAUUUUCAAAUCUUACACGUAUGGAACCUCGUGCCCACAAUAAUAAUUACCUUCGCACGGCAAGGCCCACGUGCUACCAUGUAUAUUGCAACAGUAACAAAUAUCAAUUAAAAUGAUUGAGAGUUAUAUUUAAACACCAUAAAGCAUAAUAAUAAUCUUGAAUAAAAGUAAGAAGUCAAAUGAAAUAAUGAGUUUAUUUUAGAAAUAAAUUAAAGUAAAAUAAAAUACAAUUUAUACAAGGUAGAGUAUCAUAUGAUUUUUGUUUAAAAAUCAAUAAAAUUGAGUAAACUUUCAUAUUUAAACAAUGCAAAAUAUCAGUUAAAUUUAUGAAUUAAAUAUAGAAUUUGUUAAAAGAGAAAUGUGAUAACAAUUAUAAGUAAGGUAACCAAUCAACAUGGUGUUGAAUAUAAUUUGAGAAUAUAAUUAUAGUAAAAGAGAGAUAAUCACUUAAAAUAAUAAGGCACUGAGUGAGAUAGCAAGUUCUAUAUUAAGAGACACAUAGAAUAAAGUACAUCAAUAAUUCUAUUAUUAAAAUCGUUAUGUUACCAACAACUCAACAGAAUAUGAUAUAAUGACUCCACACAAUUUAAUUCACAUUGAUAAUUAAUUUACCAAGUUAUAACGGAGGCACAUAUUGGCAUGUUAAAGCAAUACAACAAAUCACGUAGAAUGCAUGACUUACACAAGAAGUCACAAUCAUUCCAACACCAAGAUAACAACGAAUAUCCAAAUACAAUCAAAAUGUGGAUGAGUGAUUGAAGGAAGAACAAUAACAAUUCAAAUCAACAAGUUGUCUCAACAUAAAAUGUACAACAAGAAUCACAACCGAGGUACCGCCUCGAAAUCACAUUUCACAAGUCAUAAUCACAAUCUUUUCUUAUAUCACCGUGUGAGCCUUACAUUUAGUUUUGAAAAUUAUUUUUUUCGAAAUAGCUAUACGCAUUUUAGCCCACCUUAUCUCACUGCAUAGCUUCAAGUAGUUCCCCUAUUAGCAGCACGCAUAUCAAGCUCUCCUUAUCUCACCGCAUACGUAACAACCCCUAGCCUUAAGCUUGCAAUAACAGUGAUUUUAAUGUUGAAAGCCCAUGAACUGCCUACAGGUGCAAAAGUUUUAAAAAGAUGGUUGCACUUGAAUGGCAUUAUGCACAUAGGCUACAUGUAAAAAUACUUCCGGGGAAUAUUCAGUUGUAGGCGGGCUUCUUCCGAAAUAAUACAUGAAAGGCCGGCCCAUUUAAUAAGAUGCUUACAAAAAAAUUUACUUGGAUGUCCCCCUAAGACUGGUCUUCAAAUAUUAUUCCUUUUUUAUUUUUGUAACAAAAAGAAGCUUCUUUUUCAUCAAGAACACUAUAAUUCUUCAAUAUUAGAAGCUUUAAAUUCUUAUUUGUGGGUAAAAAAUGGACGUUAAUUUUUGAUUAUUAUUAAAAUUAUUUGGAUAUUGAUAAAUUAUGCUUAAUUUUUUAGUUCAAAGACUAAUUUAGUGAUUUACUUUAAAAAUCUCAAAAUUCCAUUGUUGGUCUUUAGAAAGUAUUGAAGAAGACAAAAUGGAUCAUCUUGAUUUGGCGUCUAUUUGACUACAUUGGUAAUUGAGAAUCGUUUGUGUCGGUAUUUGGAGGUUUUGUUUCUAAUUUAAAAUCAUUUGGAGCAGAAUUGAGGCGAUUUCUUCAAAAGUAGAAUUAUAAUUUUGAAGAACACUUUGUUGAAUAAGACAAAAAACUUAUGAUGAUCGAAUAGACUUUGAUGAACAAUUUAAUAGAUAUGUCAAUUGUAAAUAACAUAAAAUCAUAUUAAUCUGGUAGAGUUUGGUGAACAAUUGAACAAGUACAAAAUCAUGCCAAUUUAUAGAGUUUAUGAAUGAUCUAACAAAUAGGUUGAAUGUAGUUAACACAAAGUCAUGCCAAUAUGGUAGAGUUUGGUGAACAAUCAAACAUAACACAAAAUCAUGACAAUCGAGUAGAGUUUGUGAAUAAUUAAUAAUAUAGGUAAAAUAAAAGCAAAAUACAUAGUUUACCCAUCCACCUUGCACCCAAAUUCCGGUUACACACCUGUUGACCAUGGGUUUAACGUUACACACCAAACCUUUCAAAAGUAUUAUGUUUUGUAAAGUGUUGCUAUGGACAACAAAUGCUAUAUUUUGUAAAGUGUUGAUAUGGACAACCAAGUGGUAUAUUUUGUUAAGUGUUGUAAAUUCACAAAUUCGUUUUGGUGUCUACUAAUGAAUACCUAUUUUGUGGAAUGAAGUAUAUUUAGGUCUUCGUUUUAUACUGGUAUACUUUGGUUAUACAAAAGCUGCAUUACCCAUAUUUGGUUACCAAAGCCAAAUAGGAACAUAACAUAACACAAGAGAAGAUCAAUAACUUCAAUGAUCUAAAUAGGAACAUAACACAAAGCUUGAAUACAUCUAUAAUAAAAUAGAGGAUAACCCUCAUAGAUAACAACAACUUCAAUCAGCCAAAUACAUGAACACCCAAUACAGGGGAAUAUCAUUACACUAUAUAGUAGUGCUCAGAACUACCAAAUACAAUGGCCUUAAGGAUGAUUAAUCUUAAAAUCAGAAGAAGAAAAAAGAGUCUCCUCCAAUUCCUCGGUUUUUCGGAUUCCUGCAAAUGCACUUCAAACUGCUUAUUCUUCCUAAGCAGACCCAAAAUCACUGGCUUCAAGUGUUCAUGAGUCGGGGGAUCAAACCAUGCGAAGUACUUACACCCAGUUUUCUUAUCUUUCUACAAAUCCAAAAAUAAAUUAAAAUGAAGCUUAUAAAAUCUUGAAAUAACGAUUAUAACAAACUAAGCUUACCUCGUAAUUUUUACAGCCGUAGAAUCGACGACCAGGGUUAUCUAUGCUCCAUGAAAUUACUAGUUCAGCUGCAUAUCCACAUCGACAAAAUGGACCUGAAUUCUCCAUUCAAUAUGAACCCUAAUACGAGAAUUGACAGAAGAAUAAUUAUCUUACCUUAUGAAUUGUACUUUAAUUUAACAAAUAUAACGAGCUUGAAAAUAUUAGAUGUGGAAGGUGAAGAUGGGGGUUGGAUUUUUCGGUCUGAAAAUGGUUGCCAAAUAGCUUUUAAUAUAGGAAGGUGAAGUGGGCGUUAGGGUUAAGUAAAUGGGCCCAAUUCCAGUAAGUAGCAGUUGAUAUUUGUCAAGUGAGGCCAAAAUUAUCUUUUCACGUGCCGCAUUGUUCGUGUUUCACACGUCCAAGAUACUGGUCAAAAAUGGUGUGUCAUUGACACACUUUUGAAAGGUUUGGUGUGUAAUAUUAAAUAUGUGGUCAAUAUGUGUGUACCAUAGAUUUGAGUGGAUGAGUAAACUAUAUAUUUUGCCUAAAAUAAAUGAGUGAGUGUGGGACCAGGCUCAUUUUUUAAAUACUCUAAAAAAGGAGGACAAUAUUUGAAGAUCAGCCCCUUAUAGGCCAAUUCCCAUGCUUAGGGUUUACAAAGUCUCUCUCGGCGCAGCCCAAGGUUCAAAAUUUUGAAUCACGCUCCAACGGUCAUUGUCAUAUUCACAAGAGUUCCUUCCUUCUCUGCCCCUACACAAGUAAUAAUAUAUAUACCCCUUCUUUUUCCCAUCACUCUCAUCCCUACUCCCCCCCUCCCCCCCCCCACCACACAAGUAAUAAUAUAUACUCCAUAUACCCCUCCUUUUUCUCAUCACUCUCAUCCCUACUGCCCCCCACACAAGUAAUUCAUUGGGACGAGUUCCAGUUUCAUUUCAAGGGGAGAGAUGGAUUUCCACAGCCUUACAAGGAGAGAACUGCAAGCUCUUUGCAAGAAGAACAAAAUCCCAGCUAACCUCACCAAUGUCGCCAUGGCCGACGCUCUUCAGUCCCUCGAGUUUGUAAGUUUCUUCUUUCAAUUAAAAAGCUAUAUUUCCUGUUUUGUGAAAUUGUUUAAAUAAGAUAGGCAGCAUUUUAAUUUCAUUUCUGAAUGAUCUGAAAGGAAUAUUAGUAGUAUCUCUUUUAAAAUGUAAAUAAGAUAGGCGGCAUUAACCUUUGAUAUUAGAUUGAAUCUGAGAUUGUUAGGAAGCUCCAGUAUGUUGAUUUAAUAAUUUUGGGAUUAAUUAUUGCUUAAAGUUAAAGUUAAAGUUAAUUUUUAUUUAUUUAUGUAUUUAGUCUGCAAAUGAUUUAUUGGUAUCUAAUUUCUAUAUUAACACUCCUUCAUGUUUGUUGGAUUGUGCCAACCACCAAUUCUAAAAGCAUUAACUAUUGGAAACAUUUUUUUAAAUAUUUGCUUAUGUGUGCAACACCAAUGAUUAAGUUACGAUAUUGGAAUGGAUUAAGGCCCGAGGUUGGUUCUUAAGUGUUUUGUGCAACUCUCUAUUGGAAUAGCAGAGGCGGAUUCAGGAUUUGAAUUUUAUGAGUUCGAGUUCGAAAUUCUACCACAACCCAUUUGAUUUGCUUGGUUCGCAAUCUAUUAAUUGUAUGUCGUAUUUAGUGGAUUCUUAAAUACUAUAAAGGUUUGAGCUAAAGCUAAUGUGAACCCUUAAACUUAUCAGUUAAGUCCGGCCCUGUGGAGCAGUAUGGCUAAAUCUACUCUUCUCCAUGCCCCAAACCAUAAACUUUUUUAAUUAUGAUUCUAUGUUCCCAAAAUUAUUGCCUAAGCUGUGCAUGAUUAGUACUUCCACAGUUGGAUAUCUAUAGCUGCUUAUAACAUGUUCAUGUAGUUGUACGUUGACAUUGUACAAUAGAAAGGAAAUUCAGUAUUAUUUUUAUAUACAGGUUGAUGGUAUUGAAGAAAUCUUGAGUUCAUGUGAAUCUGAAACCGCAAACUCAUCCAUGGAGUCUCCUGGGAAGUCAGAAAUAGUAACAAGUGUACCUCGGACUUGUCGUCGAGCUACACAACAAAAGGCAAUCAAACAUGACCCAGAAACUUUGCAGACCUUGACUAGGAGUAGCUGCAGAACGAGAGGAAAGGUGGUCAGAGAUGUAGAUGAAGCCAAGAACGACCUGCAUGAAACUCCUGCAUUGCCGACUACCAGAAGAAGGGCUGCAGCAACUUCAGUUCGCGCUAAAUUGGAAUCCGCAAUGAAGGAAUGUGAACCAAAAGAGAAAUUUGGGGAUCAGAUUGAGGGAAAAAUGAAAGAUGUGCCAAAGACACCAGCAGUUGUUCUAACUAGCCAAAGAAAGGAAUUGAAGGCAAGUUCAGUUAGGCAAGUGUACAGUACUCGUCGAUCAGCAAGGAUAGCUGGGAAACCAAUGCAGGAGAGCCCACAAGAGAAUGAAAUGUCAGGAACCCUUACAUUUGAUGCUUUUCCUGAAGAAACUGAGGAAAGUUUGGAGGUGGAUUCUGAGCAGUAUUCUAUUCACAAGAAUGAAGAAGUAGACAAAAAUGGUAAUGUCCGCAAGCACAAGUAAUCCUUAACCUUUUUCUUUUCCUGAACAUUACUUGGUGUCUAAGUUCUGACUGACAACUGCAGUACAUGUAUUGAAUUGAAAACGUUAGAAAGUUUGGAGAUCAAUAAUGUAUCAGAUAUUGUAUCAGGUCAAUAUUCAUAUACCUUGGUACAAAAUGAAAUAGAAACUGAAGAUGUUGUUCAACAAGAAAGUAACAAUAACCUGGUUGUUGCGUUAGAUACAAAAGCAGAAGAAGGCUCAGAGGAAGUACCACUUGGUCACAACAACAAUGGUAUGUAUUGCUCUGUUCUCAGUGUAUGUUGUUGUUUGCUCCAGUCUUCUGCAUUACUAUUUAUAUGAAUUAACUUGUAGUCUAUUUAUUUUGAUGGCUUAUGUAUACUGCUCAAUUGGUAGAAAGAUUCAAGAAAAUGGUAUCUGUUCUUCUGUCUACUUUUUGUAUCAAUUGUCUUAUCACCAUCUCUGUUGUAUAGACAAUCUCAGUUUACUUAGUACAGUGAAUUGUUUCUUGCUUUGUGAUAAUUAAACAAAAUUGUUUCUAGGAUCUGAAGAUGUGCAUAUGUCAAUAACGGAGGAACUUGAGAAUGGAAAAGAAAUAGUAUCUGAAGGAAUGCAGUCUUUGAAUGAUGUUUCAGGAGCUAAAAUAGAAGAUUUUGGUGAAGAAUCCAUGGAAGAAUCUGAAAUUGAUCAAGCUCAGGCUAAAACUGAAAAAGAUUUUCAGAACAAAAGCCAUAACUUGGGUGAAGAUACAAAGAGAAGUUCAGAUAUCACUAGUGUGAUCCUGAUGAAGCAGCCGCAUAAAAAGGACAAGCCCCAUUGUGAAGAACCUGCAAGUGUCAAUGCAGACACUAACAUAGAUUUCCAUGAGGUGAAUUCGUUGGGGCAAUUCAACGAUGAGGGGGAGGCUAAGGUGAGUGGAAGUCAGCAGUGUUUGAAAGAUGCUUCCGAAGCUAACACAGAAGAUGCUGGAGAAGAAGAGCCCAUGGAAGAAUAUGAAGUUGAUCAUGCUGACGCUAAUGUGGAUAGUGCAGCUCAUGGUCUGGAAGUUGCUGAAGAAGAACCCAUGGAAGAAUUUGAUGUUGAUCAAGCUGAGGCUAAUGUAGAUAGGGAAGCUGAUGCUCUUGAAGUUGCCGGGGAAGAAGAAUCCAUGGAAGAAUCUGAAGUUGAUUAUGCUGAGGCUAAUGUGGAUAAUGCAGCUCAUGGUCUUCCACCCUUGGCUUCUCUCACACCUGAUGAUGCUGCCCAGGAAGGUGAGUGCGAGGUUAAGGUGAGUGGAAGUCAGCAGUGUUUACAUGUUUCAGAUGUAGUUGCUGGAGAAGAAUCCAUGGAAGAAUCUGAAAUUGAUCAUGCUGCGAUUAAUGUGGAUAUUGCUGCUCAUGCUCUUCCUCCCCUAGCUUCUCUCAUACCUAAUGCUGUCCCAGAACCAGUCUACAAAGGCAUUGCUGGUAAUGACAGUAAGCAAUCUUUGCAAGAUUUAACCUUGAGGAAGCUUACAAAGAUGUUGAAAGAAAGAGCUACAGAUCACAAAAGAUCCUAUGGAGAAGAACCUAUGGAAGAAUCUGAAAUUGAUCAUGCUGCGAUUAAUGUGGAUAUUGCUGCUCAUGCUUUUCCUCCCCUAGCUUCUCUCAUACCUAAUGCUGUCCCAGAACCAGUCUACAAAGGCAUUGCUGGUAAUGACAGUAAGCAAUCUUUGCAAGAUUUAAGCUUGAGGAAGCUU